rnacentral:lncRNA from 1 species
CGGGCACAGAACAACUGGUUUGACAUCUCAUAUCGAGCAGUUCGACUUUGUUCCCCAUAUAACUCCUUAAGAUUAAGGAGAAUAGAGGAAACAUUCAUGUCCUCAUGCUACUUCUGAAGCUCGUUGCUAAUGGAGGCAAGCAUGAUGCAUUUGACAGUCACACUGUCUUCUUUCCACAUCUUAUAUGUGACCCUUUCCUCUUCGAAAGUAUCUUUCUCAAGAGAAUCUGGAGUAGGUG